rfam:Pseudozyma hubeiensis SY62 DNA, scaffold: PHS57.
GGCCGGUUGGCCCAAUGGUAAGGCGUCUGACUACGAAGCAACCUCGGAGGUAAACACUGGGCAGUUGUGAGUUAAUCAGGAGAUUCUGGGUUCGAGCCCCAGGCUGGUCA